rnacentral:tRNA from 1 species
AAGGCUUUAUGUUAAUAAACAAAUAACCUUCAAAGUUAUUAUUAAAAGUUUAAAUCUUUUAAGUCUUA